rfam:Populus trichocarpa scaffold_4_contig_327, whole genome shotgun sequence.
AUUCGAAUAAGUUAACUAAUGUAAUCAUGUUAGUGUCUGGGCUGCAGGACAGAUUCUGACUUCUCUGUUGUUGCUACAAUUUGAACUUGAAAACGGUCCUUUUGAAUCUUAGACUCUCAUGAAAGUUUUAGGCCUAUGUCUUAGCUUUCCAUA